GAGAUAUCUCUAUGGAGCAGAACUUGCUUCAGUGGGGCUUUGGUGCUCACUGAGUCUGCUCCUUGAGUGUGUCACU
rfam:Myotis lucifugus cont2.14907, whole genome shotgun sequence.